UACGGAGGGGGCUAGCGUUGUUCGGAAUUACUGGGCGUAAAGCGCACGUAGGCGGCGACUCAAGUCAGAGGUGAAAGCCCGGGGCUCAACCCCGGAACUGCCUUUGAAACUAGGUUGCUAGAAUCUUGGAGAGGUCAGUGGAAUUCCGAGUGUAGAGGUGAAAUUCGUAGAUAUUCGGAAGAACACCAGUGGCGAAGGCGACUGACUGGACAAGUAUUGACGCUGAGGUGCGAAAGCGUGGGGAGCAAACAGG
rnacentral:rRNA from 2 species